UUAUUACGACAGGGGAGCGCCGCCGUCGGGGAUCACUGGCAACUGCCAGCCGAACCUUGGAUGGGCGCUGAGAGUGCGGACAGCCGCAGACCCUCGAACCUGAUCCGGCUAGUACCGGCGUAAGGGAGUCGAGUUCUCAAAGUG
rfam:Arthrobacter sp. Soil736 contig_14, whole genome shotgun sequence.